UUGUCGGCAGGGUGCUUUCGUUAUCAGGUCAGAGGGCUCUUUGAACUCUACAGGGGGCACUGUGUGGUCAGUGUGGUUUUCCAAGUCUGACGAGGCCGGCCGUCUUUUGCUGCCUCGGUUCACGGGCAACCUCAGGGUGGCUGCGUCCGUGUACUCAAUUCUAGCCUCCGUCUGGUGCUCGUUGAUGGGCGGUGAUGGCGGUGGCGUUUCUAGAUGACUCCGGUUGUCCAUUAUGGUGCUAAUCAAAAAGAAUACAGAUGUUAGCAUUACUCUGGUUUGGUAUGUUGCGUCUGCUUACGCUCUGUAAGUUUCUAUUAAGAAAAUUUUCGCUCGGCAACGCAGCAUUGUUAUUCAAAAUGUUAUUGUUUAUUAUGUUUUUUGUGCUGCAGGUUUAAAACAACAAACUAGAAGGAAAAAAAUGAGAAGAGGGACUAUUAUCAAGUGUAGCGAUUACACGACAUAACGUGCGUGCACAGGCAGACUGAGCCAAAGUACGGUACUCACUAGAAAACACUUCAUGUUUGUCCGUCUAAUAAGAUGAUGCAGAAGCAACAGUUUCCAAAUCAGGAAUGCUGGUGCAUCCCAAUACGAUGAACCCUUUAUAUAGGGCUCUCAACAUCAAAUAAUGAAUACUUGCGUCACUGCACCGCCGGACAAGAUCAAAAAUGCAAUAAAAAAAACUUGAUGAAGGCUAUCUCAACGUGGAAAUCACUGGAGACGGUGAGGAUAACAACCUCUCAGGGCACAUCAUAUUUGGGAGAACCGAGAGUGGUGCAGGAAAGAUCACUUUCAUUAUGUAAUUAUGUAGACACGAGAUGCACCGCAGCUCGAGUGCAAUGCACCAAGAAUGAGCUGCUGCGCCCACAGAAAGGGUUGAGGAAUGCAACUAUAGAGCAAUGACUUUAUUCGAAUGUAGAAAGAAAAUCAACAGCUAGAAUUUUUAAAGAAAUAAAAAACCAUAGAAAAUUCAUUAUAUUUGAAUCCAGUCAAAUAAUAAAACAACAUUCUUUUGCGCGUAAUUUUGUUUCAAAAUAUUUAUAUUUGUAUCAAAUGGCCGCAAUAAAGUGUGCUUUACAAAAUAAUCAAAAUUGCUUUUAAUCAAAGUUGAACCUCCGCUUUCCGUCAAAUCUGAAGCCAUAAGCGGGUGCAUUUUUUACAUCGAUGAGUGCCGGGUGGCGGUGCUUGUAAAAUGAGCCGUGGCCAUGCGCUGGCCGAGCAUCCCCGUUGACGACUCCGUACGCUCGGUUUGGGUAAAAAGCUUCAAACUUAUCUUUGGGAAGGAGCACCUUGGCGAGCUGCUCGUCCUCAGGGUCGUAGGCCAG